rnacentral:rRNA from 1 species
CCUACGGGGGGCAGCAGUGGGGAAUAUUGCACAAUGGGGGAAACCCUGAUGCAGCGACGCCGCGUGAGCGAGGAAGUAUUUCGGUAUGUAAAGCUCUAUCAGCAGGGACGAAAAAAGACGGUACCUGACUAAGAAGCCCCGGCUAACUACGUGCCAGCAGCCGCGGUAAUACGUAGGGGGCAAGCGUUAUCCGGAUUUACUGGGUGUAAAGGGAGCGUAGACGGCAAGGCAAGCCAGAAGUGAAAGGGCAGGGCUCAACCCUGUACAUGCUUUUGGAACUGUGGUGCUAGAGUGCAGGAGAGGUAAGUGGAAUUCCUAGUGUAGCGGUGAAAUGCGUAGAUAUUAGGAGGAAUACUCAUUGCGAAGGCGACCUGCUAGAACAUAACUGACGCUGAUGCGCGAAAGCGUGGGGAGCAAACAGGAUUAGAUACCCCUGUAGUC